GGGUGUCUUGGCCAUGGUGGCGCAAGACAGGUCGAUGCGCAGGUCGGGCCGCCGCG
rnacentral:ncRNA from 15 species